rnacentral:rRNA from 1 species
GAUAGGCCUGCAUGUCUCAGUGCAAGCCGCACUAAGGUGAAACCGCGAAUGGCUCAUUAAAUCAGUUAUGGUUCCUUAGAUGGUGGACAGUUACUUGGAUAACUGUGGUAAUUCUAGAGCUAAUACAUGCAACUCGGUCCCGACCGGAGACGGAAGGGACGCUUUUAUUAGAUCAAAACCAAUCGGUCCUCGCGGCCGUUUGCCUUGGUGACUCUGAAUAAAUUGUGGCAGAUCGCACGGUCUCCGUACCGGCGACGCAUCUUUCAAAUGUCUGCCUUAUCAACUGUCGAUGGUAGGUUCUGCGCCUACCAUGGUUGUAACGGGUAACGGGGAAUCAGGGUUCGAUUCCGGAGAGGGAGCCUGAGAAACGGCUACCACAUCCAAGGAAGGCAGCAGGCGCGCAAAUUACCCACUCCCGGCACGGGGAGGUAGUGACGAAAAAUAACGAUACGGGACUCAUCCGAGGCCCCGUAAUCGGAAUGAGCACACUUUAAAUCCUUUAACGAGUAUCCAUUGGAGGGCAAGUCUGGUGCCAGCAGCCGCGGUAAUUCCAGCUCCAAUAGCGUAUAUUAAAGUUGUUGCGGUUAAAAAGCUCGUAGUCGGACUUGUGUCCCACGCUGCCGGUUCACCGCCCGUCGGUGUUUAACUGGCAUGCACGUGCGGACGUCCUGCCGGUGGCCCAAACCGGCGCGUUUCGGGGUCGGAAACUUCCCCUGGCGCGUUCGGGGAGGGCCUACUCAUACCCGUCGCGGUGCUCUUAACCGAGUGUCUCGAUGGGCCGGCACGUUUACUUUGAACAAAUUAGAGUGCUUAAAGCAGGCAGCAGCCGCCUGAAUACCGAGUGCAUGGAAUAAUGGAAUAGGACCUCGGUUCUAUUUUGUUGGUUUUCGGAAUCCCCGAGGUAAUGAUCAAUAGGGACAGACGGGGGCAUUCGUAUUGCGACGUUAGAGGUGAAAUUCUUGGGAUCGUCGCAGGACGGACCGAAGCGAAAGCAUUUGGCCCAGGAUGUUUUCUCUGAUCAAGAACGAAAGUUUAGAGGUU